UUUUCUCUGUAAGUAAACGAAGGGGAAAAACCUCACAGACACCAUCGUCCUCACCAUGGCGCCGCUGCUCCCGGCCGCCCCUCGCCGAGCUGAGGCCAUCUCUAGAACCGCCUUGAUGUCCUCUAUCUCCUCCCCGAAGGAAUCGAGCUAGAGCGCCUCGAAUCGUCCUCAGGAUCGUCGUUUCUCCUCCAUGGCCGGCACACUCCGGCGAAGAUUCCGGCCACCUCGGUCCUCCUCCGCCUUCCCCAUGUCCUUCAUCAGCAUCAGGAUGUCGUCGUCGGCGGCGCUCCGGUGGGUCCCCGGAACCAAGACCACCACCAAUAGACUCCUCUUGAACCCCACGUCGAGCGCACCAUCUCCCGUGCCCCGGUUUACUCUGCCCUGACAGAUCCCUGCUUGACCAGAUCUCGUCCGCCAUGGCGCUGCUGCCCGAGCUCCUCCUCCCCUGGUUCAAGUUGCCACGGGAUUUUCAAUUGCCACGAACUUAUCCGUAGCCCAGUGAUCCAGCGCCUACUGGGCCUCGACCCAUUUCUCUUUGAGUGCAGCCGCCGCCCGUGCGGCCUGUAGCUUCCCGUCGCUGCGUGCACGCC